UCACGAAUUUAUCUGAAGUUCUGAACGAAAACAGAUAUCUUCCUUGACUUCACGAUUCAAUGACAGUAUUAGCCACUCUGCCUGUCGCCAGUGUGAGCACCGGAGCUCGGUUUCCCUGCGAGCUCCGGCAUCUGGGUCCUGUUAAUCAGAAACCCCACAGAAGACCCAGAGAGCGUUUUCUGUGUUCUUACCUUAAUGGGCUACAACACCAGAGGUUCUUUUGGCAAAUACCUAAAACAUGGAACUUCGGUUUGGAGCAAACUUUCGCUUUGGGCAAAGAGGCUGAAGAUGGGUUUCUCUCGAGUACAAAUGAAGAUACUGAUGAAAUGUUUGAUGACUUGUUCAAAAAAUACGGAAAGGUGGUGUUUAAGAGAAAUGACAUGAAGCUUCCUACGGAUGAAGUAGAUGAUGACGCUGAAAGCUUAUCAUUUGCUGUAGAAUUAGCUAGGGUUGCAAGUGACGUGAAGGCUGCUGAUAUAAAGGUCCUAUUUGUCAAACCUCUUGUGUAUUGGACUCGAUUUUUUAUCAUUGCCACAGCAUUUUCACGCCCUCAGAUUGAUGCUAUCCGCUCUAAAAUACGACAUCUAGCUGAGACGAAGUAUGGAAGAAUUCCAAAUGGAGACACAAAACCCAACUCCUGGACCUUGUUGGACUUUGAUAUGGUCAAGGAUCAAUGUCAUGCCAGUAUGUUGUAUUGUGCAUGUAUGCCUGCAUUCAAUGUGGUUGAGUAGCUUGAAGGAUUUUUUUAAAAAUAUUUUCUAGAUGCAUUAAUUUAGGAAUUUGGGCUUUUCUUUGCGAGAUUUUAAUUUACUAUUUAUCAGAAAUCAUGAAUAUUGAAUGCGUAAGAAAGAUGUUACAUUGUAAGGAUGCCAUCUCUACAUCAAGCCCAUCUAUUGAUGUCAAUAACUUAAUUCAAUUCUUCUGUGUAUUUGUUUUCCUUUUUCAAUAAUUCUAUUUUCAAACAUGUGUUAUCCUUUUCUCUUGGUCAGUUAGGUCAUGAAGACCAUGCAAAUAUAAUGAUUCUCCUACUGCAUCUAGAAUCUUCUCUUUGUUAUUAAAUUUUGGUCUUUAUAAUCUGUGCCGAUGGGCCUUAUAGAAUUGGAUGGAUUUUCAAAUAUAGCACUGAUUACAAACUUUGCCGCAGUUUUAAUUAUUAAUUCUUUGUAAUCUGAGCUUCUGAAGUUUAGCCCUGUA